GUAACGGCGAGUGAAGCGGCAACAGCUCAAAUUUGAAAUCUGGCCCCCGGGUCCGAGUUGUAAUUUGUAGAGGAUGCUUUUGGUGCGGUACCUUCCGAGUUCCCUGGAACGGGACGCCAUAGAGGGUGAGAGCCCCGUCUGGUUGGACGCCAAUCCUUUGUAAAGCUCCUUCAACGAGUCGAGUAGUUUGGGAAUGCUGCUCUAAAUGGGAGGUAUAUGUCUUCUAAAGCUAAAUAUUGGCCAGAGACCGAUAGCGCACAAGUAGAGUGAUCGAAAGAUGAAAAGCACUUUGAAAAGAGAGUUAAAAAGUACGUGAAAUUGUUGAAAGGGAAGCGCUCAUGACCAGACUUGGGCUUGGUUGAUCAUCCAGGGUUCUCCCUGGUGCACUCUUCCAGCCCAGGCCAGCAUCAGUUCGCUGUGGGGGAUAAAGGCUUCGGGAAUGUGGCUCCCUCGGGAGUGUUAUAGCCCGUUGUGUAAUACCCUGUGGUGGACUGA
rnacentral:rRNA from 1 species